rnacentral:rRNA from 1 species
UUUCGCAAUGCCCGAAAGGGUGACGAAGCGACGCCGCGUGUGGGAAGAAGGCCUUCGGGUUGUAAACCGCUGUUGGGAGUUAGGAAGUGUGGGAGUGUUAAUAGCGCUUCCACUUGACUAAAGCUCCAGAGGAAGCCACGGCUAACUCUGUGCCAGCAGCCGCGGUAAUACAGAGGCGGCAAGCGUUGUUCGGAAUUAUUGGGCGUAAAGAGCACGUAGGCGGCUCUGCAAGUCAGCUGUGAAAGCCUUCUGCUUAACGGAAGAACAGCAGUUGAAACUACAGGGCUUGAGUGCGGGAGGGGAGAGUGGAACUUCUGGUGGAGCGGUGAAAUGCGUAGAUAUCAGAAGGAACGCCGGCGGCGAAAGUGGCUCUCUGGUCCGUAACUGACGCUGAGUGUGCGAAAGCUAGGGGAGCAAACGGGAUUAGAUACCCCGGUAGUCCUAGCCGUAAACGAUGGGCACUAAGUAGAGGGGUUUU